AUCCUGCCAUUAGUCAUAUGCUUGUCUCAAAGAUUAACCCCUUUAUGUCUAAGUAUAACCGUUAUACUGGGAAACUGCAAAUGGCUCAUUAAAUCAGUUAUAGUUUAUUUGAUGGUACCUUACUACUCGGAUAACCGUAUUAAUUCUAGAGCUAAUACGUGCGUAAAUCUCGACUUCGGAAGAAACGUAUUUAUUAAAUUAAAGACCAACCCUUCGGGACCGUUGGUGAUUCAUAAUAACUGGACGAAUCGCAUGGGCUUGCCCCGGCGAUGUUUCAUUCAAAUUUCUGCCCUAUCACGUUUCGAUGGUAGUAUAGAGGACUACCAUGCAAGUAACGGGUGACGGAGAAUUAGGGUUCGAUUCCGGAAAGGGAGCCUGAAAAACGGCUACCACAUCCAAGGAAGGCACCGGGCGCGCAAAUUACCCAAUCCUGACACAGGGAGGUAGUGACAAUAAAUAACAAUACCGGGCGUUUUUACGUCUGGUAAUUGGAAUGAGAACAAUCUAAAUCCCUUAUCAAGGAUCAAUU
rnacentral:rRNA from 1 species